rnacentral:lncRNA from 1 species
UCACCAGAUUCUUAAGAGAAACUUUUUAUAUUGAAAAAACGCAGUACAGGGCGCUGGGCGGCCUGUUUUGGGCGCUGGGCGGCCAGAUAACUUAAGGGGAAGGUUUCUGGCACCGCCUUGGGCGCUGGGCGGCCUCUGCAGGCCGCUGGGCGCCCAGUACAUCUUCAAAAUCCAUUUUUCUUGCCAAAACAUGCCAUCUUCCUUGAAUCUUCAAUCCUACAAUACAAGUUGAGAUUAAAAUCAAACUUAAGCACAUCUUAGCCUAAAGUUCACCUAUCAAUAAGUUCUAAUCAAAAUAAGUAGGAUUUGAUCAAGAUUUAUCAUGAAUUCAUAAGGAUAAAUGCCUAAGUUACUCAUCGAAAUUAGGUAAAAUUGGCACUUAUCAACUCCCUCCAACUUAACACUUUGUUUGUCCUCAAACAAAAGGUAAUGACUUAAAUCAAACAAGCAUGACUUAAACUUUUUCAAAGCUAAAUUUGCAAGAUCUCACAAAGAUUGAAUC